rnacentral:rRNA from 1 species
UACGGAGGGUGCAAACGUUGCUCGGAAUUAUUGGGCGUAAAGCGCACGUAGGCGGACUGUUAAGUCGGAUGUGAAAGCCCUCAGCUUAACUGAGGAAGUGCAUUCGAAACUGGCAGUCUUGAGUAUGGAAGAGGGUCGCGGAAUUCCCGGUGUAGAGGUGAAAUUCGUAGAUAUCGGGAGGAACACCCGUGGCGAAGGCGGCCUUCUGGGGCAUUCCUGACACUGAGAAGCGAAAGCUAGGGGAGCAAACAGG